UGAUGUGCGCAACAGUGGCAUUAAUGCAGCAAAUAAUCACCGAGUGGGCUAAAGGAAUGGAAAAGGCACAAUUUGCCAUAUUAACGAACUAACUGAAGUGAAAUAAAACGGACAAGGAGCGUUAGAACAGUGUAGUUUGAGUGAAUCAGCAACAUGGGCACUACGGAGUCCAAGAACACGGAAAAUAAAGGAACAUUCACGGAAGCAAGCUUUAAAAGCUGCGAAGAGUGUGUCGGCUUUAAAUAAACUAAGUGAGGUUUAAAAAAAAA